rnacentral:tRNA from 5 species
CGGGAUGUAGCUCAGCGGUAGAGCGCGCGGCUGGGGGCCGCGAGGCCGCAGGUUCGAGACCUGCCACCCCGA